AUUAAUUAUAAUUGUCACCCGUCAAGGAAAGUAUCACCGAAUAAAAUUCCCCUUCAAGUUGGGCUAUUUCAAGCUUCCAAAUCAUCACAUGUCCAUCCAUUUUUACAAUAACAUUUCCAUCAUUUUGAAAUGCAGUUAAAUUAUCAUCCAAGAGAUGAUCCGACAGCUGGACGUCCAAAUUCCAGGAGGACACUGGAGAGACUUGAGAGAUCAGGCAGGCAUGCCUAUUAAGAACAAAGAAGAAGAAGAAGAAUUAUCAUAAACGUUAAAUUCCUUCCUCAGACAAUGAAAUUGUGCAAUUAACAUAACUAUUAAGAGCGCGCUUUUAUUUUACCCUAUAUUCUUCAAAUACGCUUUAAUGGCACAAAGGAAUUAUUAUUUCUUGGGUGUUGUAGAUUUGACAAUGCUGCCAGAAUACCAUUCAAAAUAUCAUUUUUGGAAGAAUGUAGAAUAUUUGCAAAUCAUUAACGUUUCUACAUGAUUCAUAAUAAACGUGUAGUCUUAAAUUCAGCUAAUAAAUAAUUUAUAAGAA